UCUGGAAUCUUUAAUUCGCAG
rnacentral:miRNA from 2 species